rnacentral:rRNA from 1 species
AGAGUUUGAUCAUGGCUCAGGACGAACGCUGGCGGCGUGCCUAACACAUGCAAGUCGAGCGGAGAAUGCGAGAUGUUUACAUUGAGCAUUCUUAGCGGCGGACGGGUGAGUAACACGUGGGUAACCUGCCUCAGAGUGGGGGAUAGCCUUUCGAAAGGAAGAUUAAUACCGCAUAAGCUUGUAGCAUCGCAUGGUGCAGCAAGAAAAGGAGCAAUCCGCUCUGAGAUGGACCCGCGGCGCAUUAGCUAGUUGGUGAGGUAACGGCUCACCAAGGCCACGAUGCGUAGCCGACCUGAGAGGGUGAUCGGCCACAUUGGAACUGAGACACGGCCCAAACUCCUACGGGAGGCAGCAGUAGGGAAUCUUCCGCAAUGGACGAAAGUCUGACGGAGCAACGCCGCGUGAGUGAAGAAGGUUUUCGGAUCGUAAAACUCUGUUGUCAGAGAAGAACAAGUCGGAGAGUAACUGCUCCGGCCUUGACGGUAUCUGACCAGAAAGCCACGGCUAACUACGUGCCAGCAGCCGCGGUAAUACGUAGGUGGCAAGCGUUGUCCGGAUUUAUUGGGCGUAAAGCGAGCGCAGGCGGUUCCUUAAGUCUGAUGUGAAAGCCCACGGCUCAACCGUGGAAGGUCAUUGGAAACUGGGGAACUUGAGUGCAGAAGAGGAGAGUGGAAUUCCAUGUGUAGCGGUGAAAUGCGUAGAUAUAUGGAGGAACACCAGUGGCGAAGGCGACUUACUGGACUGUAACUGACGCUGAGUCACGAAAGCGUGGGUAGCAAACAGGAUUAGAUACCCUGGUAGUCCACGCUGUAAACGAUGAGUGCUAGGUGUUGGCCAGCGAUGGUCAGUGCCGAAGUAAACACAAUAAGCACUCCGCCUGGGGAGUACGGUCGCAAGACUGAAACUCAAAGGAAUUGACGGGGACCCGCACAAGCAGCGGAGCAUGUGGUUUAAUUCGAAGCAACGCGAAGAACCUUACCAAGGCUUGACAUCCCCUUGACCAGUGCAGAGAUGUACUCUCUUCUUCGGGAGCAAGGGAGACAGGUGGUGCAUGGUUGUCGUCAGCUCGUGUCGUGAGAUGUUGGGUUAAGUCCCGCAACGAGCGCAACCCCUAUUGUUAGUUGCCAGCAAGUAAUGUUGGGCACUCUAAUGAGACUGCCCGGGUCAACCGGGAGGAAGGUGGGGACGACGUCAAGUCAUCAUGGCCCUUACGCCCAGGGCUACACACGUACUACAAUGGUGCAUACAAAGGGCAGCGAAGCCGCGAGGCCAAGCCAAUCCCAGAAAAUGCAUCCCAGUCCGGAUCGGAGUCUGCAACUCGACUCCGUGAAGUUGGAAUCGCUAGUAAUCCCGGAUCAGCAUGCCGGGGUGAAUACGUUCCCGGGCCUUGUACACACCGCCCGUCACACCACGAAAGCUGGUUCUACCCGACAACGACGGACUAACCUUCGGGAGGUAGUCGUCUACGGUAGGGCUGGUGAUUGGGGUGAAGUCGUAACAAGGUAAC